GUACCCGUAGCCGGCCGCGGCCACGGUGGAGAGGUCGAGUUUUUCGACGUCGUCUCGUUCGAGCUCGAGCCGGGUGUACCA
rnacentral:tRNA from 1 species